AUGAUUCUGAGGUUCAUAAGCAUGAUGGCUGGGUGUUAGCGUGCAUGUGUGAGAUGUGCCACUCUUGAACCUGGUCAUUAUAUUGGCACGUUACCUAUCUGACA
ensembl:snoRNA